AUUGAACGCUGGCGGCAGGCCUAACACAUGCAAGUCGAGCGGAUGAAGGGAGCUUGCUCCUGGCUUCAGCGGCGGACGGGUGAGUAAUGCCUAGGAAUCUGCCUUGUAGUGGGGGAUAACGUCCGUACACGGGCGCUAAUACCGCAUACGUCCUGAUGGUGAAAGUGGGGGAUCUUCGGACCUCACGCUAUCAGAUGAGCCUAGGUCGGAUUAGCUAGUUGGUGGGGUAAAGGCCUACCAAGGCGACGAUCCGUAACUGGUCUGAGAGGAUGAUCAGUCACACUGGAACUGAGACACGGUCCAGACUCCUACGGGAGGCAGCAGUGGGGAAUAUUGGACAAUGGGCGAAAGCCUGAUCCAGCCAUGCCGCGUGUGUGAAGAAGGUCUUCGGAUUGUAAAGCACUUUAAGUUGGGAGGAAGGGCAGUAAGUUAAUACCUUGCUGUUUUGACGGUACCAACAGAAUAAGCAACGGCUAACUUCGUG
rnacentral:rRNA from 1 species